AGCGAACGCUGGCGGCAGGCUUAACACAUGCAAGUCGAACGGGCACUUCGGUGCUAGUGGCAGACGGGUGAGUAACGCGUGGGAACGUACCUUUCGGUUCGGAAUAAUUCAGGGAAACUUGGACUAAUACCGGAUACGUCCUUCGGGGGAAAGAUUUAUCGCCGAUAGAUCGCCCGGCGUCUGAUUAGCUAGUUGGUGAGGUAAUGGCUCACCAAGGCGACGAUCAGUAGCUGGUCUGAGGGGAUGAUCAGCCACAUUGGGACUGAGACACGGCCCAAACUCCUACGGGAGGCAGCAGUGGGGAAUAUUGGACAAUGGUCGCAAGCCUGAUCCAGCCAUGCCGCGUGAGUGAUGAAGGCCUUAGGGUUGUAAAGCUCUUUUGUCCGGGAAGAUAAUGACUGUACCGGAAGAAUAAGCCCCGGCUAACUUCGUGCCAGCCGCCGCCGUAAAAC
rnacentral:rRNA from 1 species